CCUACGGGUGGCAGCAGUGAGGAAUAUUGGUCAAUGGACGAGAGUCUGAACCAGCCAAGUAGCGUGAAGGAUGACUGCCCUAUGGGUUGUAAACUUCUUUUAUAAAGGAAUAAAACGAGGCACGUGUGCCUUUUUGCAUGUACUUUAUGAAUAAGGAUCGGCUAACUCCGUGCCAGCAGCCGCGGUAAUAAGGAGGUUACGAGCGUUAUCCGGAUUUAUUGGGUUUAAAGGGAGCGUAGAUGGGUUGUUAGGUCAGUUGUGAAAGUGUGCGUGUCAACCGUAAAAUUGCAAGUGAUAUUGGCAGUCGUGAGUACAGUAGAGGGAGGCGGAAUUCGGGGUGUAGCGGUGAAAUGCUUAGAUAGCACGCAGAACCCCGAUUGCGAAGGCAGCUUACUAAACUGUGACUGACAUUGAUGCUCGAAAGUGUGGGUAGCAAACAGGAUUAGAUACCCCAGUAGUC
rnacentral:rRNA from 1 species